CCAAGUGAUGAUAACCUUUUUGGAAAAGGAUUGUACUUUUACCUAGUUUUCCGGCGAUCUUCCCUCGCCUUUACCCAUUUUUUUCGUUUCUUUGUUGACAAGGAGAAAGUAUGCGCAAUUACUCUCUACUGUUAUAGCGGCUAUUGCCGUCCUUCAAAGGAGACACACGAUUAGCAUCCUUUAUGUAUUGGUUCGAGCAAUAAAGCCUCAACCAAGGUGAUGACAACACACACGCAUGCACUGAUCCGUUCGACUGGGUCUUGACGGUGGUGGGAUCGUUGGCCGCCGCCGCUCACGGCACUGCACUAAUUCACGGACAUCCGGAUACAAGAGAUGUUCGAUUUCAUGAGUUCAAAGAGGUUGAAGCGAAAGUUCCAUGCCUUGGACACGAGUUCCCCAUUGCUUACCAGUCAUCAAUAUCGAUUUCGUGCCUUGUUAGAAAUGUUGCCAUGAUGAAGUCAAGAAAGGAUACAAGAUAUGCAAUUAACUUAGUGGUCAUCCAUGACGGGACAAAAAUUCCUUGUUGAGCUUUGCAUAAUCUGAUGUCAUUUAAGCAGAAAUUUGGAGCUGAUACAAGGUAUUUCAAAGUUAAACACUUUGAUUUGUGUGUUUGUUUUACAACUGAGGCUAUCUUGUCCAUGUUAUGCUAUGGCUUGGUAACUCCAUUACUUGCAGAUGUUAGGUGAUAAUAAACUCUAUUUAUAAGUUAAGUUUUGUAUUUACUGGUUUUGGUAACUUUUGCCUAUAGGCUAUCUAAGGUUGAAUCAUUGGCUACUGGAAUUGUUAUUUAUGACUUUCAUUGGCCAAGCAUAACAAACUAAAUCGAGCCUUAAAUGCGAUCAUUAGACACUAAUCAAUAGAGAAAACAUGUGAUUAUUUAUUUUUGGGUAGGGAUUGAUAUAAAAUACCAGUAUACAUAGGGUGACUGAAAUCCAAUGGGUGUCUAGGUGAAAUUUUUGAGGGUUGUAAUUCAUGAGGGG